rnacentral:rRNA from 1 species
GACGAACGCUGGCGGCGUGCUUAACACAUGCAAGUCGAACGCUGAAGCCUAGCUUGCUGGGUGGAUGAGUGGCGAACGGGUGAGUAACACGUGAGUAACCUGCCCUCUUCUUUGGGAUAACGCCCGGAAACGGGUGCUAAUACUGGAUAUUCACUGAUCUUCGCAUGGGGGUUGGUGGAAAGGUUUUUUCUGGUGGGGGAUGGGCUCGCGGCCUAUCAGCUUGUUGGUGGGGUGAUGACCUACCAAGGCUUUGACGGGUAGCCGGCCUGAGAGGGUGACCGGUCACAUUGGGACUGAGAUACGGCCCAGACUCCUACGGGAGGCAGCAGUGGGGAAUAUUGCACAAUGGGCGAAAGCCUGAUGCAGCGACGCCGCGUGAGGGAUGGAGGCCUUCGGGUUGUAAACCUCUUUCGCUCAUGGUCAAGCCGCAACUCAAGGUUGUGGUGAGGGUAGUGGGUAAAGAAGCGCCGGCUAACUACGUGCCAGCAGCCGCGGUAAUACGUAGGGCGUGAGCGUUGUCCGGAAUUAUUGGGCGUAAAGGGCUUGUAGGCGGUUGGUCGCGUCUGCCGUGAAAUCCUCUGGCUUAACUGGGGGCGUGCGGUGGGUACGGGCUGACUUGAGUGCGGUAGGGGAGACUGGAACUCCUGGUGUAGCGGUGGAAUGCGCAGAUAUCAGGAAGAACACCGGUGGCGAAGGCGGGUCUCUGGGCCGUUACUGACGCUGAGGAGCGAAAGCGUGGGGAGCGAACAGG